GGAUGCCUUCGGGGUCGGGUGCAAAUCCCAACCGGCGGUGAUCAAGCUUGUCUUGCUAGCCCGCGACCCGCAUAGCACUGCUUUGCGGCUGAUUUGGUGAGAAACCAAAGCCGACGGUAACAGUCCGGAUGGGAGAAGGAAGUC
rnacentral:ncRNA from 2 species